rnacentral:misc_RNA from 2 species
AAUUCUCAACUGCCUUUUUAGCAUUUAUGUUAAGGGUGAAGUUGGAGUUGGAGGAUAAUUGCUGGCGCACAACUUAGGUUGUGUUUGUUAGCUCCUCCUAAAUGGAUGAGCUUUUCUAAUAGAUCAUGGCUCAGUAACACUAAUGUGAUAAUUAUCUACAUUAAAUGUGAAAGUUAUGAGUAGAGUAACUUCAAUUGUGGAGAAGCUCCUAUAGAAAGGGUAUGUCUUGGGGAUAAAUAAACCCUUGACUUGAAAUAUAAUGACAA